rnacentral:rRNA from 1 species
UUUCCGUAGGUGAACCUGCGGAAGGAUCAUUGUCGAAUCCUGCAAAAGCAAACCGCGAACACGUUAAACCACAUUGGGAUCUUGGGUAGGGGCAACCCCAACCCUUGUUCCCCUCCCGCAGCGUGUGCUGUGGCUAACGAACCCCGGCGCGGCAUGCGCCAAGGAAAACUCAUAGAAGCAUCCGCCUCCCGUCGGCCCGUUUGCGGUGCGCGGUGGGGGGUGUCUCUCAAUGUCAUAACGACUCUCGGCAACGGAUAUCUCGGCUCUCGCAUCGAUGAAGAACGUAGCGAAAUGCGAUACUUGGUGUGAAUUGCAGAAUCCCGUGAACCAUCGAGUCUUUGAACGCAAGUUGCGCCCGAAGCCUUUCGGCCGAGGGCACGCCUGCCUGGGCGUCACGCAUCGCGUCGUCCCCCCUCCCAUUCGCCGGACAUUGGCCCCCCAUGUGCAGUGCCUCGUGGCCGGCCUAAAUGCGAACCCGUGGCGACUCACGUCACGACCAGUGGUGGUUGAACACUCAACUCUCGUGCUGUCGUGCCGGGAGUAGCAUGUCGGGUAACUUGGUAGACCCAACGGAGCAACUGGUUGCGCCUUCGACCGCGACCCCAGGUCAGGCGGGAUUACCCGCUGAGUUUAA